rnacentral:lncRNA from 1 species
AGUAGAAACUACCAAGAAAGUUGACCCUCCCCACUCUGGGUUUCAGUUAUCCAGGACCCUCAGGUGUCCAUAGGUAGGUGGGGUCAAAGGGCAGCGUGGCAAGGGGACCCCUUUGGACUAGAUCGAGGCCAGAGCUGGUCACCCCUUCCCCAGGAAGCUCCGUCAGGCCAUCACUCUGAGACUGGAGAGGCCGGCAGGAGGCGCUUCUCCAGGAGGUGGGACGUGGAGACCAGGAUCGGGGCCCAGUAGCCCUGGAGCCCUCCAUACAUAGGCUGAAGGCAUGAAUGCAAGUCAGGCACUAUCCCGGGACCAAAGGCAGGAGGCCAGGCCGUCCCCGAAAAGGGGGAUCAUUAUCCUCUUCCCGUUCUAAAAGCCACGCCCUCCUUCUAGUCUGACGCCCCAGAGGAGCCUCAGGUCUGGGGCCACAGUCUAGGGUCUGAAGAUGGCGCCUGUGGCAGCCUCGAAGAUUCCACAGCCCUCAGGCUCCCAAACCAGAUCGGAACAAAGCAAAACAGACUCAACGUGACCACCAGACGCGCCCGGACCCUCCCAGCCAACCACCUCUUCUUGACUCAACACACGACUGUGCCUGUGAGGAAAGCGGGCUCUUGGGAGCCACAGGUUGAGAGACUUUGCGAACUGCACUGGGUCCAGGCUGAAGAUGCAACUUGAGGCAGCCUGGACAGGUCAACAGUCUUCACCUACACCACACAGACCAAAGGUGGAUUAAGAUUAUUUAAAACCCAGUAACCCAGGCCAGCCCACAACCCCUACCUGUGGGGACGCACCAAUUUCUCCCUGUUAAGUGGGGAGAGCGAGAGUUGGGCCGAGGAAGUGAGAUUGGGCUUCAUGAUUGGUCAGUGUCCUUUUCCUGGUGCAUCCUGGGAGUUGUAGUCCCACGCUAGGCCCCUGCAGAGAAAGUUCUGGCUGCGUGGCAGGAAGUGACUAGCACUACUGCGUGGGCAGAGGAGGACAGUGAGAAGGCAUUUUGCCGACUGUGUGCCAGGCGCUGGGCUAGGUGCUUUACAGCUCUUGUUUGCCUUUAAUUUUCACGGAAUAGGAGUGUGGUUAAGGUCAGACUCUGGACUGAAACUUCUUGGGUUUAAAUUCUACUCCAGCGCUGGUAUAGCUAUAGAUGUCCUCAGCUAUCAUAUGAAGAUAAUAAUAACUACUAUCCGUCUUCUUUUGAGAGUUAAGUGAGAUAAUGCAUCACAUUGGGCUUGGCAGAUGAUGUGCUCCAUAAAUAUUAGCUAUUAUCACUCUUAUAAAUCUGUGCAGAUGAGCUGAGAGGUAUACACUGGUCUCUUGCCAAGUAGAGAAGUCGAGAUUCAAGCCAUCUCUGCUGGGUUCCAAGAGGAAUUUCUGUCACCACUGCCUUUGAGUUGACUCAAAGAUUUUUCUUGGUGCCCUCAGGAAUUGCCUUAGACUUGAUGAACUUCAGAUUCAGAUUCUACACAAGU